rnacentral:rRNA from 1 species
UACGGGGGGGGCAAGCGUUGUUCGGAAUUACUGGGCGUAAAGGGCUCGUAGGUGGCCAACUAAGUCAGACGUGAAAUCCCUCGGCUUAACCGGGGAACUGCGUCUGAUACUGGAUGGCUUGAGUUUGGGAGAGGGAUGCGGAAUUCCAGGUGUAGCGGUGAAAUGCGUAGAUAUAGGGGAGAACACUCGUGGCGAAGGCGGCCAGCUGGACCAGCCCUGACGCUGAGGCGCGACAGCGUGGGGAGCAAACAGG